CAGUUCUCUUUCACCCACUGACCUGUGUCCUGACUCUCCUGAAGAGAAGCCCAAAACUGCUCGUGUCUCUACUGAAGUCCAAAAACUGACAGCCAUCAAGGAAACCCACAGAGCGCUACACAUUGACACUGUCACACCACAGUGGAAAAAAGGAGCAUAGCUGGGAUCAGAAGUGACAAACUCCUGGCAGGAGGGGACUACGAGCACUGACUUCAAUUGCAAGCCAACAAAAAAAAAAAAAGUGAAUGAAGACAGAAAACACCUUCAGAACCAUGCCACAGGUCUGCAACUCCCUUGCAAGCCUAAUCUGUAAGGAAGAGAACACCAAGACACUGAAAUUUUGGAUUGUUCAUUACAAUGCUGUACUGUGUGCACUGGGAUAUGCACAGAGGAAAAAACAUCUGAGGUGAAAGGAAAUAAAGGAAGAACUCUGCUGGGAAGCAAAAUGCUAGGGCUUGGUUUUCAUUAUCUAAAGCCACACCUCAGAACUGCCUGACUGAUGAUAAGAGAUGUUACCCUCCCAGGGAGCUGGAUCCAGAGAGGAAAAGGAAACCUUUCAAAACAGCUCCUGUAAGACAUUAAACCAGCUUAAUAUCAAAUCAUACUGAAAACAAACAUUUUAAUUCUGUAACAUCAAAGUACUGAGAGAGAACAUGCUAAAGCAGAAAAUUCCUGAAUUAAAAGCUUGAGGUUUUAGUCUUUA